CGACUGCUAAUACCGCAUAAGCCCACGGUGCCGCAUGGCACAGAGGGAAAAGGAGCAAUCCGCUUUGAGAUGGCCUCGCGUCCGAUUAGCUAGUUGGUGAGGUAACGGCCCACCAAGGCAACGAUCGGUAGCCGGACUGAGAGGUUGAACGGCCACAUUGGGACUGAGACACGGCCCAGACUCCUACGGGAGGCAGCAUG
rnacentral:rRNA from 1 species